rnacentral:rRNA from 1 species
UUCGGCGACCAUGGCGAGGGGGAAACGCCCGGCUCCAUUCCGAACCCGGAAGCUAAGCCCCUCAGCGCCGAUGGUACUGCACUUGCUAAGGUGUGGGAGAGUAGGACGUCGCCGGAC